rnacentral:rRNA from 1 species
GCGGGACGGCAUCGUCCUGUUGGUAAAGCUCAGGCGGAUUCGGGUCCUCAUGCGUACGAUUAGCUAGUUGGCGGGGUAACGGCCCACCUAGGCGACGAUCGUUAGGGGUCCUGAGAGGGAGAUCCCCCACACUGGUACUGAGACACGGGCCAGACUCCUACGGGAGGCAGCAGUAGGGAAUAUUGGGCAAUGGGGGCAACCCUGACCCAGCCAUGCCGCGUGCAGGAAGAAGGCCCUCUGGGUUGUAAACUGCUUUUGGGAGGGGACAAAAGGCCCAUGCGUGGGCGAUUGAGUGUACCUCCAGAAUAAGCACCGGCUAACUCCGUGCCAGCAGCCGCGGUAAUACGGAGGGUGCAAGCGUUGUCCGGAUUUAUUGGGUUUAAAGGGUGCGUAGGCGGCCCGAUAAGUCGGGGGUGAAACCCACAGGCUUAACCUGUGGAGUGCCCCCGAUACUGUCGGGCUUGGGUUGUCUCUAGGCGGGCGGAAUGGAAGGUGUAGCGGUGAAAUGCAUAGAUAUCUACCAGAACGCCGAUAGCGAAGGCAGCUCGCUGGGGACAUACCGACGCUGAGGCACGAUAGCGUGGGGAUCAAACAGGAUUAGAUACCCUGGUAGUCCACGCCGUAAACAAUGGCCACUCGGUGUCUGCAUCGAUUGUAGGCGCCCAAGCGAAAGCGUUAAGUGGCCCACCUGGGGAGUACGCCGGCAACGG